UACAGGGGGGGCAAGCGUUGUUCGGAAUUACUGGGCGUAAAGGGCCAGUAGGCGGCCGACUAAGUCCGACGUGAAAUCCCCAGGCUUAACCUGGGAACUGCGUCGGAUACUGGUUGGCUUGAAUUCGGGAGAGGGAUGCAGAAUUCCAGGUGUAGCGGUGAAAUGCGUAGAUAUCGGGAAGAACACCCGUGGCGAAGGCGGCACUCUGGGACGGUACUGACGCUGAGACGCGAAAGCGUGGGGAGCGAACAGG
rnacentral:rRNA from 1 species